rnacentral:lncRNA from 1 species
GUAAAUUUAUACAGUAAAAAAAAAAUAUGUAAUACACCUUGUUCUAUUAUAGAUUCUAUUCUUCAUCAGUUAUUUAUUGUCCGAUUCCUUGGUUCAAUGGAGGUGAAAUCAGAUGACCAUCCAGAUGUUGUUUAUGAAACUAUGCGCCAAAUCUUAGCUGCCCGGGCCAUCCAUAACAUCUUUCGUAUGACAGAAUCGCAUUUAUUAGUCACUUGUGACUGUUUAAAGUUAAUUGAUCCACAGACACAAGUUACAAGGCUCACGGUGAGUUCCACAUGAUUUAAGCUUUGUUUUAGGUCCCUUUGUAUAUAUACACAUCUUACAACUUGAUAAUAAUCCUGAUCCUGUAUAUUCAAGUGUGAUAGUAUCAGCUAUGAUUGGUCUUUGGCUGUUGUAGUUAAGUCUAUGGCCAUCUCCAAAAAGUUGUCAUUGAACAUUUUAUGUAACUUAAAAGAAUUAACACAAUUCUUUUUGUAAUUUUUUUAACACAGUUCUUUUUGACUUUGUAAAAUGUGUUAAUGACUAAUAAAACAAAUGUAAUAUUC